ensembl:lncRNA LINC03042 long intergenic non-protein coding RNA 3042
UUCCCCUAUCUUCCCAUCAGAACUCAGCCAGCAGCCAUGGACACAGGCCUCUCUUUCCUCUGCACUGCUUCCCCACCCUGGUUCCCGCUCUGGGGUAGGUCCCUCCCAGACCAUUAUGGCUGGGACGUGCAGCAUCUUUUUUCUCUGCUUCUCCAGUAACAGCUGGUUCUGCUCAACUCCCAAAGAUGAUUUUCAAGAACCCCAACACUACUAUCUGCCUGGGCUGCCAGAAAGAGAAAGGGCACCCUCAGAGACACUGAAGACCACCCUCCAGAAGCCGCCAGCACUUUCUAUCAUGUGACUAGCUCUGGGUGCUCCUUAUCUAGCGAAAGGGGCUGGCUCAAAUGGCACAGAUAUUGAAGAUCUUCCUGAAGAAGACAGGAAGAGAUGCUCAGGUCAGGGAGGGAAUGAGACCCCUGGGGAAGGGACUCCUCCCAGCUGAGGAGUUGAUUAGAAGCAAUCUUGGAGUUGGCAGGAGCCUUAGAGACUGCCUGAGCCAGUCCGGGAAGCUGGCUGAGGAGCUUGGGAGCAAGAGACUAAAACCAGCCAAGUUUGGGACAGAAGGGAAGGAAAGGGUUGAGCAGCGAACAGAGAGACAAAGAACAGGCAGUUCCAAAGAGCCAAGAAUGCAAAUCAUUUGCAGACGCCGCUGGCGAGAGCCUCCACCAAGGCUGCUGUGGGGGUGCCUGAUGCCACGAGCACAGCCACUUCUACACGUCACGGCUUAUGAGAAUACAGGCCACUGGGAGAGACUCGCAUCUGUGGUUUCUUCAAAAACACAGCAGCCCACAGUGAUCUCUCAUUCUUCCAUUUCUAUCACAUUCAGUCAUUACCCUCCAGCCACACUGGACUCCUUUCUUGUCCUGGAACCUAUCAAACUCUUUCCUGUCUCAAGCCUCCGCAGUCCUCUCUGCUUGAACUGUGGCUCCUGCAGAGAAAGCAUCAGAAUCUCCGGGGAACUGAUUGGAAAUGCACAUUCUCCAGCCCCGCCCAGAACUCCUGAAUUAGAAACCCUGGGGUGGGACAAGCAAGCCGUGCUUUCUGGGGCACAGGUGAUUCUGGUGUGUGCUGAAGUUUAAGAACCACUGGCCGAGAACAUUCUUAGGUCUGCUCUUCUUUUGCCCGGCCCCUCCCUCGCGGAGGAAUUCCUUCUUAUUCCUCUCUGAAGAGUGGCUGCUGCCAAAAAACGUUUGUGAGAUGGCCUGGGUUUUCUUUGUUGAUUUAUCAUUUAGUUUGGAAGAAAUCAGAAGUCUCUUUAAGAAGCCAAUUUGAAACAUUCACCCCAUGGGAACAGUUCUGGAUGAAGUCAGAAGAUCUGGAGGCAGCGCAGUAACACACGUAGGUUUUCUGGCCAUAUGGACAUUUCAGAGAAAACAACGCACAGAGGCCUGGAGCAGGUGAACUGGCUUAAGUAGAGAGAAACUAAGUCAUUUGGGGAUAUUUAGCACCUAAUGUCAAGGCAGAAAUGUCUAAGAUGUAAUUAACAGUUAUAUUCUAAUCUCAAUAGUAGCUAAGUACAGACUUAAACAUAAGCCUGUAUAUAACAAAAUAACCCCAGGAGAACCAAAGAAAAUCUAGAAGUUGCUGCUAAAAACAGUUAUGUUAGUGAUACCUAGGAAAGUUUUUUUUCUUUUAACAUGUCAUUGUGGUUUACAAAUGAAAAUUGAGGCCGGGCGUGGUGGCUCACGCCUGUAAUCCCAGCACUUUUGGAGGCCAAGGUGGGCGAAUCACAAGGUCAGGAGUUCAAGACCAGUCUGGCCAACAUGGUGAAACCCCAUCUUUACUAAAAAUACAAAAAAUUAGCUGGGCGUGGUGGUGGGCGCCUGUAAUCUCAGCUACUAGGGAGGCUGAGGAAGGAGAAUCGCUUGAACCUGGGAGGCGGAGGUUGCAGUGAGCCAAGAUCAUGCCACCGCACUCCAGCCUGGGCAACAGUGUGAGACUCCAUCUCAAAACAAACAAACAAACAAAUGAAACAAAUGAAAAUUGAAACUUCACCCAUUUAUGGCUAUUGCCUAAAGAAUUUAUAAAUGCCUGGGUCAUUGCAAGCAUAUUGCUGACAUGUCUCUCGGUCUGCGUUACCCUGGUGGACAUCACGACACUCACCUGACAGGCAGCAGCUUCCUUCCAGUAAAAGCAAAGAAUCUGAAAGGAAUGGAAAAGGCUCCACACAGUGCCAUUUUAUAGAAGGAAAUGCAACAAGGUCACAGACCAGAAGGACAGCAGCCCAGGCCGGCUGGGCAUGGAGGAAGUCCCAAGAUGCUGCUGGGCAUGAACAGACCUCCUCAUACAGUGUGCCUCUGAAGAAAUAAUGCAAUUGUGUGGGGCCAGAGGAGCCACAAAUAGAACAAAGGGAGGAAAGGAAAAAUCAAUAUGCAGUAAAGAGGAGGAAGGGAGCCCGGCGCGAUGUCUGAAUCUCGCUGGCAAGAAAAGGAAACAGGUGGUCUAAGCAGGCAACCCUUCACCCCACAUUGUAAUGCUGGGGCAUGGACGUGUUCCAUAGAUCACUCACUGAGAAGUCUUCACAAGAACACUCCAAGGCAGACACUACUAUCCAUCUUCCACACACUGGGGGAUUGAGAGUCAGAAGGAUUAUACAGCUUGUUCAAAUUAUAAAUAAAAGCCCUGAGAUUUG